rnacentral:tRNA from 1 species
CAGGGGGUAGUUUAGUCAGAACGUCAGCUUUGGGUGCUGGUGGCGGGGCUGUUGCCUCUUCCCUGA